UACGUAGGCAGCGAGCGUUGUUCGGAGUUACUGGGCGUAAAGGGUGUGUAGGCGGUUCUUUUAAGUUUGGUGUGAAAAUCUCCCGGCUCAACCGGGAGGGUGCGCCGAAUACUGAGGGACUUGGAGUGCGGGAGAGGAAAGUUGGAAUUCCCAGUGUAGCGGUGAAAUGCGUAGAUAUUGGGAGGAACACCAGUGGCGAAGGGCGGCUCACUGGACCGGUACUGACGCUGAUGCGCGAAAAGCGUGGGGGAGCA
rnacentral:rRNA from 1 species